rnacentral:rRNA from 1 species
UAGGGAAUCUUCGGCAAUGGGGGGAACCCUGACCGAGCAACGCCGCGUGAGUGAAGAAGGUUUUCGGAUCGUAAAGCUCUGUUGUUAAGGAAGAACGAGUGUGAGAAUGGAAAGUUCAUACUGUGACGGUACUUAACCAGAAAGGGACGGCUAACUACGUGCCAGCAGCCGCGGUAAUACGUAGGUCCCGAGCGUUGUCCGGAUUUAUUGGGCGUAAAGCGCGCGCAGGCGGUUAGAAAAGUCUGAAGUGAAAGGCAGUGGCUCAACCAUUGUAGGCUUUGGAAACUGUUUAACUUGGGUGCAGAAGGGGAGAGGGGAAUUCCAUGUGUAGCGGUGAAAUGCGUAGAUAUAUGGAGGAACACCGGUGGCGAAAGCGGCUCUCUGGUCUGUAACUGGCGCGGAGGCUCGAAAGCGUGGGGAACGAACAAG